rnacentral:rRNA from 1 species
AGUGAACGCUGGCGGUAGGCCUAACACAUGCAAGUCGAACGGCAGCACAGUAAGAGCUUGCUCUUACGGGUGGCGAGUGGCGGACGGGUGAGGAAUACAUCGGAAUCUACUUUUUCGUGGGGGAUAACGUAGGGAAACUUACGCUAAUACCGCAUACGACCUACGGGUGAAAGCAGGGGAUCUUCGGACCUUGCGCGAUUGAAUGAGCCGAUGUCGGGUUAGCUAGUUGGCGGGGUAAAGGCCCACCAAGGCGACGCUCCGUAGCUGGUCUGAGAGGAUGAUCAGCCACACUGGAACUGAGACACUGUCCAGACUCCUACGGGAGGCAGCAGUGGGGAAUAUUGGACAAUGGGCGCAAGCCUGAUCCAGCCAUACCGCGUGGGUGAAGAAGGCCUUCGGGUUGUAAAGCCCUUUUGUUGGGAAAGAAAUCCAGCUGGUUAAUACCCGGUUGGGAUGACGGUACCCAAAGAAUAAGCACCGGCUAACUUCGUGCCAGCCGCCGCUGUAACAC